rnacentral:rRNA from 1 species
GACAGAGGUGCCAAGCGUUAGGCGGAAUCACUGGGCGUAAAGCGCACGUAGGCGGAUUGCUAAGUCAGGGGUGAAAUCCUGGAGCUCAACUCCAGAACUGCCUUUGAUACUGGCGAUCUUGAGUCCGGGAGAGGUGAGUGGAACUGCGAGUGUAGAGGUGAAAUUCGUAGAUAUUCGCAAGAACACCAGUGGCGAAGGCGGCUCACUGGCCCGGUACUGACGCUGAGGUGCGAAAGCGUGGGGAGCAAACAGG